UAAAAACCCACCCUGGUGACCCGAAAUGAGCUUUUAAAAUUCCUGUCUACCUAACUUGAACUACCUAACAAAACAUUGUGGUGGACUCCCUUGACUCCUGUUUCCUUCUGGGAUGAGGAAAGCCUUACAGGAGAAAAAUCUUGAGGUAAAGGCUCUUUCCUAUCCAAGCGCAUCUGUGUCUGCGUGGUGGUGAGAGGGGAAUGCAUUUCCAUUAGGAGGCCCAGCCACAGCUGCACUAAAAGUGGUAACAGACUAAACAUACAAAGGCAGAGCGCCUCCUCCCCAUCCAUCAGCCUUGAUUUUUAUGAAGCCACAGUUACCAUGAGGUGCAUCUAAGCACUCAGCACCUUCUCACCAGGAGAAAGGCUCUGUGAUUUCAUGGCCCAUUUCUACCUUGAUGGUAGUGGAUGACCUUGGAGACAGGCUGAGCUUUUCAGUAGAGGCUCCUGAAGUAUCGAGUGACUCAGAACCUAAAUGCUCCUCCCAUGCCUGGGCGCACGGACAUGCACCUGCUGCAUGUCUAUGUAAUUCUUACAGGAAUUCCUAUUUUCUGAUUGCUUCCCACAGCUUCCUCAGUCCCGUUGAUGCUGUGGUAGCUGCCCACACAUUUGUACGUGUUGUCUGUGUACUUAUGAGCUGAGUCCAGCGUUCAUUCUUUCUGGAUGUGUGUUUCCAGCUCCUCCACUCAAGGACAUGAUUUUCUAAGAAUUCGUCAGUUUGACAAACAAUAGCUCUCAGCCUGCGAGGAAAAUGAGCAAAGUUAACAGCAGAUGAAACCUACAAAUGUGUACUGAGUACUAUAAACCAGGUUGCAGGCUAGGAACAUUUAUUUGUAAGACCCAGUAGUUGCUUCUUAAAAUGAAUCUUAAGAUGGGGUGGAGAGAAGAAGCCACUGACACAGGAAAGCGAACAGCAAGAACAGGGCUAAGUCACAGUUCCAGACAAUGAAGGGAAAUCAGGGCUGGCCAGACGGAGGCUUCCCAGGUUGCACGAGUAGCCAUAGUUACAGAGAAGCCCAAGGUGAAGGUCCGAGUCUCAGCCAGACAUCGGUAGCUAACAGUGAGAGUGGUAGCAUCAAUCCACUGCAGCUCCAGUCCAGGAGGAGGAAAAGCACGGUGGCCAGUGGCACCUCCAAGUGUGUCACGUAGCUGGUUUGUUUUCUUAAUUUACUCUAUGAAAUGGCUUUCUCUAAUGGCAUGCCAUUGACGAAAUGCACCCUAAUGUCCCCAUCCAUCACCUCCAAAUGCUUUUGCAUGCAUCAGUUCUUGACUUGUUUUCUCUCGUUCAGCACAUAAAUGAGAGGAAUGAUUUAUCCAAGGCCACCCGUUAUUUUUAUAUGGAAUCUGAAAUAGCUCUCUGGAGAAAUACCGCCCUGAGCACUCUGUGCUGCUCUGAGCUCAUGCUACAGGGUGUCUUUGGCCAGGGAUUGCUUUGGUACCUUCCUGAUGACUGUUUGCAGGGGACACUGGUCCAGAUGUCCAUCCACGUUACCUGUGACUCCUGGACACAAGAGCUGACACUUGGUAAGUAUGAUCAUGAGCGGUGUAUUACGGAGUGUGAAAGUCAGCACAUCUGCCUUUGUUGUGAGUGAAAAUUGAUUGAGCUGUCAGAUGCCUCCUCACCCCUACCCCCGAAAUGCUUUCCUGAAAUCACACUCAUCACAUAUACAAGGGCGUGUAUUUAUUUUCUUCACUUUACCAACCUGCUUUCUUGACCUAUGUCUCCCCAUGGCGGGGAUAUCUAGCUCCUUGUCCCUCAGGAUUUUGCAUAGAUCAAUAAAGGGUCUUUAAGGGAGCAGAGUAUGGUACCUCUGUGUAGGACCUAGUACGGUUUCAAGGAGGAAACAGUCUAUAUAGUUUUUGUCUCAUCAGAUGAAGAUGAGAGUGGACAUAAAAGGGUCAAAGCAUCAAAUGACAGACCUGCACCAUUAAACACACCAUUCCUGGCUGUAGCAUUAAUUUAGUGGAACACUCUUUAAAGUGCCAUAUUUUCACCUUCUUGGUUCUUGUCUCAAAAAAUGUGUAAACUGUGACUUGGACAGUUACACUCAACUGAAAAUAUCUGUUGACAUUGGCUGUGCAGGGACACCAAAAAUAAGUAUGCAUCACACAUGACUUUGCAUUAAAGUAUUCUUGGUAGAUAUACAUACCUUAAUAAUGUGAUGUCUAAUAGAUAACACAUUCACCCUUUAAUAGAAGUGAAAUAAAGUGUGCAGAGGGUAAGAACUCUCCUAGUUUUCUAAAGGGCUGAAUGACCAGAGUUAAAACUACCAGGUCACUAGUCCCAGUGUGAGUCAUACACACACUUCAUCUUUUCUAAGAUGUAAAAACUAUGGUAGAUUGGCAGAGUGUUCUUCUCUUGACAUUGGUUCUUGUUAUUUAAUAAAUCAUCUUCACAAAGAAGGUGGUGUUGAUGAGAAUAGCAUAUAGAAAUAUCAACAAUAAGAAAAUUCAUGUUUUUAUUGAAAUUGUGAAUUGACAAAUUUAUCUUCUAUGAUGUCAGCACAUCCUUGAACAAAGAGAUAGGUGAGCAGUCUGAUUAUCUCAUUAAUAUGGACUCUAUUGGCUCUAUGGGAGACAAGGAGGAUUGGACCCCUCCCCACAAUAUCUGCAAUGAGCUUUUCUACACAAGGGCACUGGCUGCUCUGUGAGGAUAGUCCUCUAAUGGAAAGCUUUUCCUCAACAAAUCAUAUCUCCAGUGAAGUGACAACGUGCAGGUGAUUCUAGCUGUCUGUGGAUUCAGCGGUAUCCUAUUUAUUGACAUGAAUAUUUAUACCCAUGUCAGUUGGUUGUAUUGCUUGGCUGGGAUGCUGAGAACAUCAGCUACUGUUUUUUUUUAAAGCUCAGCAUUCUCAGGGCUAUUUAAAGAACCCCUCCAUCAUCACCACUUUGGACCACCACUUUGAAUGCUAAAAGCAAUUCAACAGAAACACUCUCCAUAUCUCCCUCAAUAAUUAUUGCUAACCUAGAGGCAAUUCUGCAGGGAAAUGUGUAUUAAUAUUAUAUGGUUUCCUUUCAACAAAGCUUUGUAAAAUUAUAAUCAUUCUUCAGUUGAACUCAUGUGCUAUUCCUUUAGCUUAGUAGAAAGUGUUUCUACUAUUCACAUUCAUUCAAAGGGAUGAUGUUUUGAUUAUCAUCCUAAGGAUGAGGUUUAGAGUGGAGGUGUCACACCAAUAUGUACUUUUAGAGGCUCUGUUGAGGUCAAUGAUGCAAAUCUACCCCUAGAGCCUUGCUACCGAUAAAUGGUAUUUAUCAUGUGGCAGGAACUUAGUGGAAGGUUUAGUCCAGAGUUAGACCAAAGAGAAAGUCCACCCAGAUCUUUAUCCAGUAACCUGAACUAACCAUGGUGGGCCAACUGGCCCCAGGACAAAUGAGUUGGUUUUAUACCAAGACACCAGUACAAAACUCAACAGAGCCAUUAUUCAUUCCCAACCUGCCCUCCAAGUAUUCUCUGGUGACUUUUGCAGACUAUGACAUAUAUGACAGGGAAAACUCAUAAAUUAGUUGAAGAAGAUUUGAUGACAGAUCUGUUUUGCUGGGGAAAGAAUAUGUAGUGAUUGAUUCAGGAACACGGUUGAUGGUGAGUGUAGAUAAAAUCUGGCAAAAGCUAAAUAUCAAAAGUGGAAGUUUUAUCUCUAUAAAUUCCACUGAGUGCUAUGUUAGAGCAAGUUAAUGAGAGCACUCUCUGUUUUCCAACCAUUUCAAAAUCUUUGACUGAUACUGAUGUGUGUGUGUGUGUGUGUGUGUGUGUGUGUGUGUUUAUAUGUAUAUUUUGCAGAAGUAUUCUGUCUGUUCAAAAGCAAAAUCUUAAUGGCUAAAGAUUGUGGCUUUAGUUGUUAUCCAGAAAGUGUACUAUUUAGCUGGAGGGUCAACCAAUUUAUGUAUUUAUUUAGAUUCUAUACGGGGUCUUAAAUGGAAAUGGAACAUCUUUACCCUUUCUUCAUUCUCCAUUUACACAUGAAAAAAAUGAUAUCAUAAUUCUAAAGACGAAUGCAAAAUUACCUUUAUAAAGACAGGCAGCACUCAUGACUGAUUUCAUUCUGCUCUGGGCAAUGCCUGCCAACAUUGCAAAGGUAGAGAUCUGACAACAAACCAGCUUUAAAAAAUGCAAGAAAUGGUUCCUAGUUCCUCUGGAAGGAGACUAAAUCUGGAAGGAAGGAAAAUCAUAGAAUUAUUUUUUUACCUGUGUAAUUAAGCAGUUCUUAAACCAAUAAAUUAAGGUAGAUGGUUUGUGUGAGACACAGGGAAAACAAAGACACUACACGAAAAACUCACAACAGAGUUAAUGAGAAAAUGUCAUUCUAUAUGUCCUAGACUUGAAUUUAAUUUACAAGAUGAUUGUGCCCUCAUAAAAUUGGUUUUUUGUUUUGUGUUUUUUGGUUUUUUUUGUUUUUUGUUUUUGUUUUUUUUUUUUGUUUUUAAAAUGUUUCCAAACCCUACCAAGGGCAAAGAGAAUACUCCCUACCUUGUCACAUUAUGUUGUAAUAUAAGGGUUAAUGUUUAAUAAAACUUAUAGAUGAUAUGGC
rnacentral:lncRNA from 1 species